GACGAACGCUGGCGGCGUGCCUAAUACAUGCAAGUAGAACGCAGUUGCGAACGGGUGAGUAACGCGUAGGUAACUGCCUCAUAGCGGGGGAUAACUAUUGGAAACGAUAGCUAAUACCGCAUACUGUGAGAUGGACCUGCGUUGUAUUAGCUAGGUGGUGAGGUAAAGGCUCACCAAGGCGACGAUACAUCGCCGAGCUGAGAGGGUGAACGGCCACACCGGGAAUUGGACACGGCCCAGAAUCCUAACGGAGGCAGCCGGAGGGAAUCUUUGGAAAUGGGCGGAAGUCUGACCGAGCAAAGCCGCGUGAGUGAAGAAGGUUUUCGGAUUGGAAAGCUCUGUUGUUAGAGAAGCGGUAACUAAAGAGAAAGGGACGGCUAACUACGUGCCAGCAGCCGCGGUAAUAC
rnacentral:rRNA from 1 species